UUCGCAAUGCCCGAAAGGGUGACGAAGCGACGCCGCGUGGGUGAGGAAGGCCUUCGGGUUGUAAAGCCCUGUCAGGAGUUAAGAAAUGUAAGUGUGCUAAUAUCGCAUUUACUUGACGAAGGCUCCAAAGGAAGUCACGGCUAACUCCGUGCCAGCAGCCGCGGUAAUACAGAGGUGGCAAGCGUUGUUCGGAAUUAUUGGGCGUAAAGAGCACGUAGGUGGGUUUGUAAGUCAGAUGUGAAAGCCUCCUGUUCAACGGGAGAAUUGCAUCUGAAACUACUGAUCUUGAGUAUAGGAGGGGAGAAUGGAACUUCUGGUGGAGCGGUGAAAUGCGUAGAUAUCAGAAGGAACGCCGGCGGCGAAAGCGAUUCUCUGGCCUAUUACUGACACUCAGUGUGCGAAAGCUAGGGGAGCAAACGGGAUUAGAUACCCCGGUAGUCCUAGCUGUAAACGAUGGGCACUAAGUAGAGGGGUUUU
rnacentral:rRNA from 2 species